GGACGGAAAGACCCCGUGGAGCUUUACUGUAGCCUGAUAUUGAAAUUCGGCACAGCUUGUACAGGAUAGGUAGGAGCCUUUGAAACGUGAGCGCUAGCUUACGUGGAGGCGCUGGUGGGAUACUACCUUAGCUGUGUUGGCUUUCUAACCCGCACCACUUAUCGUGGUGGGAGACAGUGUCAGGCGGGCAGUUUGACUGGGGCGGUCGCCUCCUAAAAGG
rnacentral:rRNA from 1 species